rnacentral:misc_RNA from 1 species
GGUAUUUAAGGUGAGUGCCUCGGGUAUAUAAUUUGUAGUCUAAAUUUUGUUCUUUGUGACAUGUUAUUUUACCUGCAAAAUAUAGAAAUUUUAUUUUUAUUAUUACUAUUAUUUUGUUGCUGUUGUCAUUGAUAUUGAUUUAGCUUGGCGCCCUACUCCUCAAAACUAAAUGCCUAGCUCCAUCACUAGAUACGCCAAUCAUUUUUUUUCCCCUUAGUGUUCAGUGCUUUAUGUGCUUUGUCUCCAUGCCUGUUGAAUUUAUGGUUACUAGAGUCCCUAAUCUUUUUCCCCCUAUUUUCUUCUUAUGCAGCUUAUUUCUUUGUCUGGGAAA